AGUUUCUGAGGAAUUAAUUCUGUCAUUCAGGAAGAGGUCUCUGCUUAGUUUUAAAAGCACAUGAUGCUGGACCCUAAGGGGUGGGAGUGGGAAAAAGACAUGCAGUCCCCCCUCCUAGGUGAAGAGACACUGCAAAGAGGCUGAUGGGCAGAGACUGCCCAGCUGGUGUCCUGAUAUAACCCCUGGAGCUUCCUGCAUUUCUCACUCCUAAGAGUGGUUUCCCCAGCCUUGGACUUUUCUAGUCUGUUAGUCUCGUGCACACAGAAGUCCUCACUCUCCUGCUGGCUGCCGAUCUCAGCAUCUAACACACCAUCUGAUGUCACAGUAAGGGCUCUGUCAUCCUGGCCCUUUGUCGCACUGAGUUGCUGCUGGGUCCUUCUGAGUAAAUUCCGAGAGCAUCCCUCCUCUGUGAACCAUGGACGUAUUUCCAUAAAGACAAGAAGGUCUUGAUUUACAGAUUGCUGACCAUGCUGAAUCCUUUUUUGGCUAAAUAUGGUGAUGGAAAUGCAAAGAAAUACUUCUCUGCUACAGCCCAUAAGGCUGGAUAUAAUCCUGGAUUUUGCCUUUGAAGCCAAAAUUCUUGAUAUCCAUUUUUAAAUUUCAUUUUGUUGACAAUUCUAUCAACUCCUACAGUGAUACUUCUGCUAGUUGUAGGUUCAAGGAAGGUUUUAGGACCCGGUCUGGAAUAAUCAUGUUGAGUAAAUCCUGAAAUCCGUUGUGAAAUCUUUAAGAGCUUCCAAAUGCUGGCUAUAAACCAGAAUGUCGUCAUCAUUUGUUUCCGCUGAAGAAAGAUUUGGAAACUGAUAAAACUGUCUUCGACUCAGAUUUCAUUUGUACAAGUCAAGCUUUGACAUGAAUGAAGAAAUAGCUGCCUUGUCUUCGAUAAGAUUCACUGUCGAGUCUCAAUCAAACCUUUCAUCGUGCUUAUGCGAGUAUUGCCCAAGGGGGCAGCAGCUGGUCCUCAACACCCCCUUAAUAUGUCUGGGACCAAAAACGCCCCCUCACAUUCCUUCAGCGUCCCCUGGUGGGCGGCACCGUCCCCGCUGGGAACCAGGGCAUUAGACCCAGGCAGUGGGCAGGGCUAACCUCACUAGAAGCUGACUACAGGGCUGGGCCGGUGAGAGUCACAUCUGACCUGACUGGAGGCUCAGGAAGAGCUGGGCCCUCUGAACAAGGGGCUGGCCUGGCAUGAGGUCGUUUCCUGUGUCAGAACUUGCUGGAAGGCUGCAACAGAGACUUGUCGAGAGGACAGAGCGGUUGAGUCCUUUACCUAGGGGUCUUCUGAAGUCCCCUGGGUACUCUUUGAAUACCUACCAAUUUGCUCUUUUUCAAAAAAAAGUUUAGUCAUACAGUAUUUUUAAAAAUUAAAUUAAAAAGCAUAUUAAAUAUCAAAUGCUCUGUAAAAUGAAACUUUUCUAAUAGAAAAUGUUAAAAACAUGUAAAUAAUGAAUGUUUGUUAAAAGUAUGGAGUUAGAUACAGUCUAUAGAAAAAUUAUUGUGACACUUAUUUUUGCUAUUUCUAUAAACUUUUAAGGUUUUGUUUAUAGGACAUUUUACACAAAAAGUGAAGUCCACAUUUUUCAUUACUUACUACAAUAAAACAAAGGUACAAUGUAUGGGCAAUACUGAACUGGAGCCAUACUAAAACCACACUAAAAAGUGUGGUUCAUUAUGAAAUAUCAAUUCAUAAUAUUGGUAUUUCUUAUGUACAGACAUAUUUAGAAAAUGUGAAAAUAUGAAAUGCAGACCUUCCUGGAGAGAAACAAUGAUUAAAUCACUAGCUUAUUUUCAAAGUAGUAAAUUUCCAAAGUCGGUUUGAUUAAGACUACACAGUGUAUCUAUGCAAUAGUAUGUGAGCUGAGCAGUUAGUCCAGGGAAUCUACUGACUAGGAAUUCUGAAUAGGUCAAAAAUACUAGUACUCUGUCAAAGAAAAUUUGUUUUGGUCAAAACUUUAAAAAUUUUGUUAUUUGGUGAAUAAAAAAGAGAAAUGGAAAAUAGAAAAAAAGAUAUUCUUAGACAAGUAAGCUUUAUA